UCUAAAAUAUUGACGAGGCCACGAGGAUACUAGGAUGUCGCAGAGAGUCGAUGGUUGGUGAAAAUCGAUGACUUAUGAGUGUCCCCAUCAGCUCGGAGUGCAGUUUUGAAAAUUGUAGAAACUGCCGGGUCAUUCCCGUUAUGCAAUGCCUAAGGAAGUAAUAAUUACUUUAAAAUAGGGUGGUACCACGAACAGCUUCGUCCCUUGA
rfam:Lactobacillus coleohominis DSM 14060 Scaffold35, whole genome shotgun sequence.